CAAGCAUUUGGCUAGGUAUUACUGUUGGAGCUAGAAACACAAGCAUUUAGCUAGGUAUUACUGUUGGAGCCAGAAACACAAGCAUUUAGCUAGGUAUUACUGUUGGAGCUAGAAACACAAGCAUUUAGCUAGGUAUUACUGUUGGAGCUAGAAACACAAGCAUUUAGCUAGGUAUUACUGUUGGAGCUAGAAACACAAGCAUUUAGCUAGGUAUUACUGUUGGAGCUAGAAACACAAGCAUUUAGCUAGGUAUUACUGUUGGAGCUAGAAACACAAGCAUUUAGCUAGGUAUUACUGUUGGAGCCAGAAACACAAGCAUUUAGCUAGGUAUUACUGUUGGAGCUAGAAACACAAGCAUUUAGCUAGGUAUUACUGUUGGAGCCAGAAACACAAGCAUUUAGCUAGGUAUUACUGUUGGAGCUAGAAACACAAGCAUUUAGCUAGGUAUUACUGUUGGAGCCAGAAACACAAGCAUUUAGCUAGGUAUUACUGUUGGAGCUAGAAACACAAGCAUUUAGCUAGGUAUUACUGUUGGAGCUAGAAACACAAGCAUUUAGCUAGGUAUUACUGUUGGAGCCAGAAACACAAGCAUUUAGCUAGGUAUUACUGUUGGAGCUAGAAACACAAGCAUUUAGCUAGGUAUUACUGUUGGAGCUAGAAACACAAGCAUUUAGCUAGGUAUUACUGUUGGAGCUAGAAACACAAGCAUUUAGCUAGGUAUUACUGUUGGAGCCAGAAACACAAGCAUUUAGCUAGGUAUUACUGUUGGAGCCAGAAACACAAGCAUUUAGCUAGGUAUUACUGUUGGAGCUAGAAACACAAGCAUUUAGCUAGGUAUUACUGUUGGAGCUAGAAACACAAGCAUUUAGCUAGGUAUUACUGUUGGAGCUAGAAACACAAGCAUUUAGCUAGGUAUUACUGUUGGAGCUAGAAACACAAGCAUUUAGCUAGGUAUUACUGUUGGAGCUAGAAACACAAGCAUUUAGCUAGGUAUUACUGUUGGAGCCAGAAACACAAGCAUUUAGCUAGGUAUUACUGUUGGAGCUAGAAACACAAGCAUUUAGCUAGGUAUUACUGUUGGAGCCAGAAACACAAGCAUUUAGCUAGGUAUUACUGUUGGAGCUAGAAACACAAGCAUUUAGCUAGGUAUUACUGUUGGAGCCAGAAACACAAGCAUUUAGCUAGGUAUUACUGUUGGAGCUAGAAACACAAGCAUUUAGCUAGGUAUUACUGUUGGAGCUAGAAACACAAGCAUUUAGCUAGGUAUUACUGUUGGAGCCAGAAACACAAGCAUUUAGCUAGGUAUUACUGUUGGAGCUAGAAACACAAGCAUUUAGCUAGGUAUUACUGUUGGAGCUAGAAACACAAGCAUUUAGCUAGGUAUUACUGUUGGAGCCAGAAACACAAGCAUUUAGCUAGGUAUUACUGUUGGAGCUAGAAACACAAGCAUUUAGCUAGGUAUUACUGUUGGAGCUAGAAACACAAGCAUUUAGCUAGGUAUUACUGUUGGAGCUAGAAACACAAGCAUUUAGCUAGGUAUUACUGUUGGAGCCAGAAACACAAGCAUUUAGCUAGGUAUUACUGUUGGAGCCAGAAACACAAGCAUUUAGCUAGGUAUUACUGUUGGAGCUAGAAACACAAGCAUUUAGCUAGGUAUUACUGUUGGAGCUAGAAACACAAGCAUUUAGCUAGGUAUUACUGUUGGAGCUAGAAACACAAGCAUUUAGCUAGGUAUUACUGUUGGAGCUAGAAACACAAGCAUUUAGC